ACCUUCUUCUCAACAUUGGUGACCUUAGCCUAUGCCUCCAGCCACCUUUCCUUCUCUGAAGCCAAGUCGGCUUUGACCUUCCCCAAAGCCUUCUUCAAGUGGGCAACAUUGACCUCAGCUGCUUCUGCCUUGGAAUUGGCUUCAGCAGCAUCGGUAUUGACCUUAGCUUCAGAAGCUUCAGCAGCCUUACAUUUUUCCUAGGCCUCGACCAAUUCUGUCUCAAUGUCCCUCACUCUGUUAAUGAGAGCAGUAGCAUAGUGGCUCAUCUACAUCCAAGGAGUAAGAAGUCAGCAAAAA
rnacentral:lncRNA from 1 species